UACGGGGGGGGUAAGCGUUGUUCGGAAUUACUGGGCGUAAAGGGCUCGUAGGCGGCCAACUAAGUCAGACGUGAAAUCCCUCAGCUUAACUGGGGAACUGCGUCUGAUACUGGCAGGCUUGAAUUCGGGAGAGGGAUGCGGAAUUCCAGGUGUAGCGGUGAAAUGCGUAGAUAUCUGGAGGAACACCGGUGGCGAAGGCGGCAUCCUGGACCGAGAUUGACGCUGAUGCGCGAAAGCCAGGGGAGCAAACGGG
rnacentral:rRNA from 1 species